rnacentral:tRNA from 1 species
CUCCCUUUGGCUCAGUUGGUAGAGCAUGGUGUUUGCAACGCCAGGGUUGUGGGUUCGAUUCCCACGGGGGGCC